rnacentral:rRNA from 1 species
CCUACGGGAGGCUGCAGUGGGGAAUAUUGGGCAAUGGGCGCAAGCCUGACCCAGCAACGCCGCGUGAAGGAAGAAGGCUUUCGGGUUGUAAACUUCUUUUCUCAGGGACGAAGAAAGUGACGGUACCUGAGGACUAAGCCACGGCUAACUACGUGCCAGCAGCCGCGGUAAUACGUAGGUGGCAAGCGUUAUCCGGAUUUACUGGGUGUAAAGGGCGUGUAGGCGGGAAAGCAAGUCAGAUGUGAAAACCAUGGGCUCAACCUGUGGCCUGCAUUUGAAACUGUUUUUCUUGAGUACUGGAGAGGCAGACGGAAUUCCUAGUGUAGCGGUGAAAUGCGUAGAUAUUAGGAGGAACACCAGUGGCGAAGGCGGUCUGCUGGACAGCAACUGACGCUGAGGCACGAAAGCGUGGGGAGCAAACAGGAUUAGAUACCCGGGUAGUC